UCUCUCUCUCUCUCUCUCUCUCUCUCUCUCUCUCUCUCUCUCUCUCUCUCUCUCUCUCUCUCUCUCUCUCUCUCUCUCUCUCUCUCUCUGGUAAAAAGGAAUAAUGGAAUGAAAAGUUUAGUGGUGUAUUUUAAUGGAUAGAUAAAAUAAGGGAGAAUAAACAGAUGAAUAGAUUGGUGGACAUACAAAUAGUUAGGAAAACAGACUAAUGGAUAUGAAUAGCCUAUAGAUAUAUACACCCCGCCCAUAAAGCAGUGACUAAUAAAUACCUGCCGAUUUAUGUAUACUGUUUAGGCACACACACACACACACACACACACACACACACACACACACACACACACACACACACACACACACACACACACACACACACACACACACACACACACACACACACUGAUAGAUUGGUAGAUGAAUAGAUAAUUUUUUUUUAUUUACAGCAAGGUAUGGCACAAAUAUUAUAGAUAUGUAGAGUAGAUAGAUGAUUUUUAAUAAGUUGGAAAUUCAGAAAUAUAUUAAAAAAAAAUGUGGUAGAGUUGUACGCAAUAUUCUCCAUUAGACUUUAUUUAACAUUACAAAUAUCAAUUUUCACUAUACGAGGAUUUACAUAAUUGGCUGUUUGUAUCUGUCAUUCUCUCUCUCUCUCUCUCUCUCUCUCUCUCUCUCUCUCUCUCUCUCUCUCUCUCUCUCUCUCUCUCUCUCUCUCUCUCUCUCUCUCUCUCUCUCUCUCUCUCUCUCUCUCUCUCUCUCUCUCUCUUGACUAAUGAUUCCCCUCCCCACACAGGUAAGCAGUCACCUGGCUCCUCCCCGGCGACGCACCUGGCCCAGAUUACCAUGAAUGACGUGGUAAAGUGAGUGCAGGUGUGGUCGUUACGUGAGUGUGUGCCGGGCAGGUGUGAGGUAAGGUAUGCUUCUCGUUAACUUGUCAUCUUCAAGGGGAAAAAAAAGUGGAUAUUACCUUGAUUUUCUUGUUUUUUUUUCUCCCGUUCACAUUCUUUCCGGCUAAUAAACUUUACCCGCUACUUGAUAAUGAAGGUUUUCGUAACGUUUAUUUACAUUUUUAUAUCGAAGUAGGUAAAAUAUAAAGGGUUAUUUAUUUAUUUAUUUAUUUUUUUUUUUACUUCUUUUUCAUUCACGUUUUGGAAAGAUAAGUGAGGAACUGAAGACAGGAUAAAAUAUAUAGACUAGUCAUUAUUUCGCGGGUGAUUUCACUUUGAGAGUCUAAAUGGCAAAAUAAAUAUGAGUUGGGUUAUUUUUUUUCAUAUAUCUAAUCUUUUUCACAGCUGAGAUGCGAAUUGCGAAAGUAAGUUAUUUAUAUAUAUUUUUUUUUAUAUUAAUUUUUCACCGAUCGUUAAAGAUAAAUGUACGGAAUUACCCAAGAAAAUUAAUAGCAAUUGAAAGCCGAGAGGGGGAUGCAGCUCUCUCCCUUUUGAAACGAGGAACAUACACCGAUAAGAUGAAUGCAAGACGAAAAUAAAAUAAAUAAGAAAAACACAAAUCUGAGAAGGCGAUUCACUCCGACACGUUCUUGCAUUUUUACGACUGACCUGAGUAUAUUUCUUGAUCUUGACCUCGGAAAAAAAUGCGUUAAGUUGAGACAUAAGGAUUAACACCGUGCAAAGCGUCUGUGUCCACGUGGCGGUCAGGGCAGAGAGAUAGCGACCGGCGGCUUUCAAAGGAGAGAUUAAGGUUGCCACUCCCUAAGUCUGCAUUGCGUCUUUAUUCAUGCUUAGUGAUGCAGAGAUGAACAGAGUGAUGCUGAUGCUGGAGUCCAUGAUGUGUGCUUUUACCGCGGCAGUCAUAACGGGAAGUGUCAUCGAGAGAGAGAGAGAGAGAGAGAGAGAGAGAGAGAGAGAGAGAGAGAGAGAGAGAGAGAGAGAGAGAGAGAGAGAGAGAGAGAGGACAGACAGGCAGGCAGGCUUGGGUCAGAUACAUGCUGAUACACACACACACACACACACACAAACACACUCACUCACCUGGAUAACAAAACAUGCAUGGCGAGAUUAUUGAAAAACGAUAAUUAAUUGUAUGCUUGCUUGACUGAGUGAUUGUAAAUACAGCACCACAAAAAUGAAGUCAUAAGGCGCCAAAAUUUGAGUUAACCCUUUUGAAUGCUACUGCUGUCUUCUGAUGUCUUGGUCUGCUUGGACGUAAAGAAAAUGAAGGGAGGUUAAGAGGAUAAUUUUGUAUUUUUUUUUCCCAGGCUACAUAGCUAUUCAACAUACUGUAAUGCAAAAAUAAGUACCGGAAAAGUUGUAAGGGAUUAUGGGAAAAAAUAUAUCAACAGUGAAAUUUGAAAUGGUAGACAAUAUUUAAGAAACUCACAGAAACAGCCAUUGCCAAGCUGGUAACACACACACACACACACACACACACACACACACACACACACACACACACACACACACACACACACACACACACACACACACACACACACACACACACACACACACACACACACACACACACACACACACACACACACACACACACACACACACACCCCUCCAA